AUUGAACGCUGGCGGCAGGCCUAACACAUGCAAGUCGAGCGGAUGAAGGGAGCUUGCUCCUGGAUUCAGCGGCGGACGGGUGAGUAAUGCCUAGGAAUCUGCCUGGUAGUGGGGGAUAACGUCCGGAAACGGGCGCUAAUACCGCAUACGUCCUGAGGGAGAAAGUGGGGGAUCUUCGGACCUCACGCUAUCAGAUGAGCCUAGGUCGGAUUAGCUAGUUGGUGGGGUAAAGGCCUACCAAGGCGACGAUCCGUAACUGGUCUGAGAGGAUGAUCAGUCACACUGGAACUGAGACACGGUCCCGACUCCUACGGGAGGCAGCAGUGGGGAAUAUUGGACAAUGGGCGAAGGCCUGAUCCAGCCAUGCCGCGUGUGUGAAGAAGGUCUUCGGAUUGUAAAGCACUUUAAGUUGGGAGGAAGGGCAGUAAGUUAAUACCUUGCUGUUUUGACGUGACCAACAGAAUAAGCACCGGCUAACUUCGU
rnacentral:rRNA from 1 species